UACGUAGGGGGCUAGCGUUGUCCGGAAUCAUUGGGCGUAAAGAGCGUGUAGGCGGCCCGGUAAGUCCGCUGUGAAAGUCGGGGGCUCAACCCUCGAAUGCCGGUGGAUACUGUCGGGCUAGAGUGCGGAAGAGGCGAGUGGAGUUCCUGGUGUAGCGGUGAAAUGCGCAGAUAUCAGGAGGAACACCGAUUGCGAAGGCAGCUCGCUGGGACGUCACUGACGCUGAGGGACGAAAGCUAGGGGAGCGAAUGGG
rnacentral:rRNA from 1 species